CUUUUAUGUUUACAAAACCAACCUGAACUUCAAUGGUAUGCGCGCCUUCAACAUCAUACACGCCAUCAACAUCGUGCACGAUACCGACACGUCAACGAUGAUAAUCACACGUGUCACUAUCCAGGACCGGCUCAAUCAAUCUGAAAAUCCUACUUUAAUUUUAAAAUACCUAAAUUAAAAAUAAAUAUAAUUUUAAUAAUUAAAAAUAAUAUAUAAAAAAUC
rnacentral:lncRNA from 1 species